rnacentral:misc_RNA from 1 species
CCGCGACCGCAGCAGCGGCUGAUUCUGACCGUUUAAAUAGUUAUUCUGAUACCAAUCAACCCCAUUGACCUUGGUCUCAGUACCCAUAUCUGCUGCUUUUGGAGCGUUGGAGGAGGAGGAGGAGGAGGAGAGCUAGAAUUGCAAUGAAAAAGAGAGAAACGCUUUUGGCCACGAAAAGCAAACCCUAGUAAACAGUUACUAUUACUAUUAUAAUAGCUACUAUUAGAGGCAAAUGAUGCUCAGGGCGUUAACCUGCGCCAAUCGCUUGCAUUGCUAUUUAGGGCCAAACAUAGUGAAAGUGAACAAGUGUAAGGCGUAAC